UACGGAGGGUGCGAGCGUUGUCCGGAAUCACUGGGCGUAAAGGGCGCGUAGGCGGCCUGGUAAGUAGGGGGUGAAAUCCUGCGGCUUAACCGCAGGGCUGCCUUCUAAACUGUCAGGCUCGAGCACGGUAGAGGCAGAUGGAAUUCCCGGUGUAGCGGUGGAAUGCGUAGAGAUCGGGAAGAACAUCAGUGGCGAAGGCGGUCUGCUGGGCCGUUGCUGACGCUGAGGAGCGAAAGCUAGGGGAGCAAACGGG
rnacentral:rRNA from 1 species